AGAGUUUGAUCCUGGCUCAGAACGAACGCUGGCGGCACGCCUAACACUUGCAAGUCGAACGAACCCUUCGGGGUGAGUGGCGCACGGGUGCGUAACGCGUGGGAACCUGCCUUUAGGUUCGGAAUAACAGUUAGAAAUGACUGCUAAUACCGGAUAAUGUCUUCGGACCAAAGAUUUAUCGCCUUUAGAUGGGCCCGCGUUAGAUUAGAUAGUUGGUGGGGUAAUGGCCUACCAAGUCGACGAUCUAUAGCUGGUCUGAGAGGAUGAUCAGCCACACUGGGACUGAGACACGGCCCAGACUCCUACGGGAGGCAGCAGUGGGGAAUAUUGGACAAUGGGCGAAAGCCUGAUCCAGCAAUGCCGCGUGGGUGAUGAAGGCCUUAGGGUUGUAAAGCUCUUUUACCAGGGAUGAUAAUGACAGUACCUGGAGAAUAAGCUCCGGCUAACUCCGUGCCAGCAGCCGCGGUAAUACGGAGGGAGCUAGCGUUGUUCGGAAUUACUGGGCGUAAAGCGCACGUAGACGGCUUUUCAAGUCAGGGGUGAAAUCCCGGGGCUCAACCCCGGAACUGCCCUUGAAACUGGAUGGCUAGAAUACUGGAGAGGUGAGUGGAAUUCCGAGUGUAGAGGUGAAAUUCGUAGAUAUUCGGAAGAACACCAGUGGCGAAGGCGACUCACUGGAC
rnacentral:rRNA from 1 species